UAUUGGUUAGUACGUUUCCAAAAUUGAUUGUUAUUGUUUUGCAAAUUUAUUAGCCUCAUUUCUGUUGGUUUUUGAGUUUUUUUUUUAAAAUAUUUUCAAAUCCAUUUCAUUCAAAAAGUUUGUUUAUAGUUAAUUAUUUAAUUUUAACUAAAUGCAUUGUAAAUUAUAUUUUAUUAUAGAAAAUUCAUGCUUUAAAAUCCCAGAUCAGAAUCUAUAUGUAAUUAUUACUAGAAUAUCAAAGGAUGCAUAAAAGUAGAGAAAAAAUAUUUAUUACCUAAACAUGUUUAUAUAUCUUCAUUAGAUUAUUAUAAUAAUAAUAAACUAAAUGUUUUGUCUGCACAUGUGGGCAUAAUCAUCUUACGAAUAUUUAUUAGUUUAUACUUGAUUAAUUCAAAUGUUCUUGAAAAAAUUAAAUCAAACAUCAAUUUUUUUUAUAUGACGAAGUUUCUCAUCAAAAAAAAUUUAUAUGCUUAUCACUGAGUCAAAACUUUUAAAAUACUCACAUACUAAAAAUCUUUUAAAAAUCUUUAUACAAAUGUUUUUGUUUAAUUAACAUUUAAUUAUAAAUUUUAACUUUAUAAUAGAAAAUAUUAUUUCCAAAUAACAACAAAAUAUAUAUAGCAAUAAAAUAAGGAUUGUUUUAUUUAUUAAAAUUUUAAUUUACAAUAAAUCAAUAAUUCCACCAAUAUUUAGAACAUGUUUAGGAGAUCUCUUUUGUUUUAAAACAUUCAUAAUUUUUUCUUUGUAAGUUUGUUUCUUUGUAUAUUUCUCAUACGACGAGUAUUGCUUUGGUAUUGAUCGAAAAUAAACAUGAGUUUUUGUGGUAAUACAUAUUAGCAUAAUUUAAAAUUGUUAGAAAACUUAUUUUUAAACUAAACACUAAUAAAUUAAAAUAAUAAACUGUAUAUGACAUCGAUGAGAUUAUAUGAACAAAAUUCAAAAAUAUAUAACUUUUUAAAUAAAUAAAAAUAUAUGAUCUUUGCAUGACAUAUAAGAGAAGAAUCUUCUUAUAUAAUAUUAAUAAGAUAAUAGAGAUGAUAAUUAUCAUAGUUUUCUUAAAACUGGUUAUUAUCUAAUAUAUAAUAUUAUUAAAAUUUAUUUAUGAAAAAAAAAUUCUUAAAAUUAUUGACUCACCUAAAAUCAAAUGUAAUUUUUAUAUAAUAAUAAAUAAAAUAAUAUCAAAUAUUGUAUAUCUGAAAUAUUGUAAUAUAUGACCAUGUUUCCAAAACUGUUUAUUAUUAAAAUAUAUAUAAUAAUAUAUAUUUGUGAAAACUAUUGACUAAGCCUAAAAUUAUAUAGAAAGUGACAAAUCAGCAAAUUCACUUAUCAAAUAAUAAUAUACAUAAAUAUUUUUGUUUUGACUCUUAAUUGCGCAAUUAAUUUGGUCAAAUAUAAUUCUAAUGUAAUGACUAAGGAUAUAAAAUAUCUUUGUGUGUCUCCAUAUAUAUAUAUAUAUAUACAAACAAUGGUGAUGAGAAAAUAUUCAGCACGAACUAAACAAAACAAUUCACACAAGAAAGCAUAAAAGUCAUUUAUUAAAUUUUGCAUCAUGAAAUCUGCUACUUUGUUUGUAGUUUCUUGUGUUCUCAUGUUCUUCGUGCUGCAUAAUACAAAAGUGGAGGCAAAAGAUCAUGCCCCUGAAAUUGUUGUCCACCUUACGAAGGGGAUAUGCCAUGAAGAUCCAACCAUAGCUGCCAAGCAAUGCUUCUAUGAAGUUCUGAACGAAGAAGGAGACGACUACUAUACUCGUUGCAAUUGUAGGGAUGCAGACGGUAGGCAAGGAGACUUUGGACACUAUUGUACAUGUUUUCAUUGAUAUGAUGUAUUGUAUCUCCAUAACUAAAAUAUAAUUGAUAAAAGUUAGAUAUUAAUCCA